GGGAGAGUGGGAAAGGUAGUUGUGUCUGUCUGUCCAUCAGAGGAAGCUAACGAGAUGGGUGAGAUCGGAGAGAAGAGGUAUGCGCUGCUGAUGUGCGGUGAGGAUUCGGAGUACUUGUUGAAGAUGCACGGAGGUUGUUACGGGAUCUUCGGGAGAGUGUUGACGGAGGAGGGAGAGAGGUGGGACCUCUACAAGGUGGUGCAGGGACACUUUCCGGCCAACCACCACCUCUCUCUCUACGACGGGUUUGUCAUCACCGGAAGCUGCUACGAUGCCCAUUCCGACGACCCUUGGAUUCUUGAGCUUCUCCAACUCGUUAACAAAUUGGACUCUAUGCACAAGAAAAUCCUUGGCAUUUGCUUUGGUCACCAGGUUCCUACUUGUCACCAUCAAUUCAUC
rnacentral:lncRNA from 1 species